rnacentral:rRNA from 1 species
GUAGGCGGGGCGGCAAGUCAGAAGUGAAAAUCAUGGGCUCAACUCAUGACCUGCUUUUGAAACUGUUGCUCUUGAGUGAAGUAGAGGCAAGCGGAAUUCUAGUGUAGCGGUGAAAUGCGUAGAUAUUAGGAGGAACACCAGUGGCGAAGGCGGCUUGCUGGGCUUUUACUGACGCUGAGGCUCGAAAGCGUGGGGAGCAAACAGGAUUAGAUACCCUGGUAGUCCACGCCGUAAACGAUGAUUACUAGGUGUGGGGGGAUUGACCCCUUCCGUGCCGCAGUUAACACAAUAAGUAAUCCACCUGGGGAGUACGACCGCAAGGUUGAAACUCAAAGGAAUUGACGGGGGCCCGCACAAGCAGUGGAGUAUGUGGAUUAAUUCGAAGCAACGCGAAGAACCUUACCGGGUCUUGACAUCGAGUGACCGCCCAAGAGAUUGGGCUUUCUCUUCGGAGACACGAAGACAGGUGGUGCAUGGUUGUCGUCAGCUCGUGUCGUGAGAUGUUGGGUUAAGUCCCGCAACGAGCGCAACCCUUAUGAUUAGUUGCUACGCAAGAGCACUCUAAUCAGACUGCCGUUGACAAAACGGAGGAAGGUGGGGAUGACGUCAAAUCAUCAUGCCCUUUAUGACCCGGGCCUCACACGUACUACAAUGGCGUUUAACAAAGAGAAGCAAAAUGGUGACAUAGAGCAAAUCUCCAAAAAACGUCUCAGUUCAGAUUGCAGGCUGCAACUCGCCUGCAUGAAGUCGGAAUUGCUAGUAAUCGCAGAUCAGCAUGCUGCGGUGAAUACGUUCCCGGGCCUUGUACACACCGCCCGUCAAACCAUGAGAGUUGGCAACACCCGAAGCCGAUAGUCUAACCGCAAGGAGGACGUCGUCGAAGGUGGGGUCGAUGAUUGGGGUUAAGUCGUAACAAGGUAA